rnacentral:rRNA from 1 species
UGGGGAAUAUUGCACAAUGGGCGCAAGCCUGAUGCAGCCAUGCCGCGUGUGUGAAGAAGGCCUUCGGGUUGUAAAGCACUUUCAGCGGGGAGGAAGGCGUUAAGGUUAAUAACCUUGGCGAUUGACGUUACCCGCAGAAGAAGCACCGGCUAACUCCGUGCCAGCAGCCGCGGUAAUACGGAGGGUGCAAGCGUUAAUCGGAAUUACUGGGCGUAAAGCGCACGCAGGCGGUCUGUCAAGUCGGAUGUGAAAUCCCCGGGCUCAACCUGGGAACUGCAUUCGAAACUGGCAGGCUAGAGUCUUGUAGAGGGGGGUAGAAUUCCAGGUGUAGCGGUGAAAUGCGUAGAGAUCUGGGGGAAUACCGGUGGCGAAGGCGGCCCCCUGGACAAAGACAGACGCUCAGGUGCGAAAGCGUGGGGAGCAAACAGG